CUCAUCCCUAGAGACAAGGAGCACAUAGACACACAUUUUAAACAGCUGUCAUAAAUUUUUUUCUUAGAAUUUUGAGCUUCAAACUUGAUUAUUUUAAGUCUAAUCUACAUCCAUAGAUCACUCAAAAGUGUGUCAUAACUUACUUGUUGGGCUCUUUUUCAUUGAUUUCUCCAUCAUCACAUUCUUUUAGCUUCCAGUCCAUGAUCUGACCGAUGACUGGUGUCGUCAUCAAGCACAAGAGUUGCAUCAUGCCAAAAAUGGAGGUGUAGAGACUCACUGGGGGAGCAAAAGAGAGGCAGAAUAUAACACUGUGUCAUAGAUAAUAGAGGAUUAUCAUGAAAGCACAUUCAAACAUGCAUAUUCACCCGUAUUGAAAUCUCCUCCGCUGAGGGACUCCAAGAUAUUGUUCAUGGCUCCCAUGUAGAAGAUGAGACGCAGUUGAGUUACACACAUGGUCACCAGACUCAACAUGAAGAGAGGGCUGAAAAUACUCUGCAUGAAU